AAGCUACCGUCCAGUCUAGCUGCUAAAUAGUAAACAACCUGUUCACUCAUCUGAGCAUCGAGGCCACAGGCAUUGAGUGUGGGGGACCCAGAUCCUGUCCCACUCAGUCCUCCCCAGACUUCUCAAGGAUGCCUGAAGUCGGUGAAGGCUGACUCGCCGCAGAUCCUCUUUUUAGCUGCAGCCGGGAUCUUAAGCAUCUCCUCCUCUGCAGGUGGCCUCUUCUCCUCUUUCUUCUCUCUCCUGCUGCACAGAGAAAACUAUUCUUCAUGGUUCUUGCCAAACGUGUGUGUGCGUGUGUGCGCAUCACAUGUAUGUAUGUCAAACAACAUUUCUGACAAUAUGUGCAGAUGAUCUGAUAUACAAGUGGAGAAAAUUCCUCACAAGUUACGUAGAAAGAUUAAAAAUAGCUUUCCUUUUUGCUUACUGUAACUAAAACUGGCCUACUGUCAUUACAUGGUCCAGUCACUUUGAAUCCCACUGUAGUACUCAUGUGGUGCAGUGGGAGGCAGUGGCACGCUGGGAACACCCAGUAAACAUUCAGCACCGCAAUUUAACGUCCCUCAGCAGAGAAACAGAUGGCAUGGGGAGAUGCAUAUGUCAGCACCCACAAGUUAAUUGCUCUAUAAUAGCUAUUUAAGCUUCACUUAAGCUCCCCCGGCUGGUACAGAGAAAGCGCUAAAUCCACUGCAGAGUGGUUACAGAUAAAAGGAUCAGGGAGAGGUUUUUUCUUUCUACUUUUCUUACAGAUGCAUCGUGUUCAGUCUCGAGUUGACAGAACCAAGAUGGCCGAGUCUCCCUGGCUGGUCACUUUCACACUCUUUUGCCGACAUACUGUAUCUUGGUAAAUUGGCAGAGUAAAGGGUUGGCAGCACAAGCCCAAAAUUAAAAAAAAAACCUCUGGCCAAUUAAAAUGGAACCGUAGCAUCAUAUACAUUGAUCUUAAUUAUUGGCUGUUUUUUGAUUUGGUGUGAGGUAAUUAAUGGUAUUAUAUUAACUAAACAGUGGUAGAAAACAUAUGAGUCCAACAUUUUUGACACGUCACAGAGAGUUAAAGAGACUCGAUAUAGAUCUUACUCAUUAAAAAUCUCAUGUGUAUCGGGACUAAUAAUGUCAUUAAUUCUGUGUUGAUGAUAUGCUGAUUGUUUAUAUAGAACAAUGUCGUGCCAUCAACCAAUGAAUGCAAAUAUGGCAACUCUGCAGUAUUCUGUGUAUUGUGAUCUAUAAUUCUUUGUUUGUUCGAUCCCACAGACUCAUAGUUGUGUAUAACGCAACUUGAAGAGCAAAGGGCGUUUCUUGACAUUUCAGGCCAGUGGGUUCACCCCACCCUCUUGGGUAGUGACGGGCAGCUGCUUCUCCUCAACAUCUGGAACAGACUCUCUGGGAGGGUUUGUGGACCUGACUGAACGGCAUCACCAGGGCGGAGUUGUUCCACUGGAGCCCAGAGUGCUCCACAUCAUCAUCAUCAUCAUCAUCGUCGUGUACAAAGGGCCAAACUGUGCUCGAACUGCCUCCCGUGCAAAUGACAGUGGAAAUGAUCAUUAUGACUUUAAAGGCUUUGCACUGCAGUGCAGUUGUUGUUGGUGUGCAAUUGGCCAGCAGCUUUAAAUGGCAGCCUGAUAUUCUUUGUUUUCCAAUGUGCUUUGGGGGUUUUAGCAG